UUUCGGGAUCUGCGGUUGAAUCAUGUUUGCCAUUAUGACGUCAACACGAACCUAGCUCGGAUACCACUUGUUGGAAGCGACUUUUUAAUGUUGCUACCAUCUUGAUUUUUCAUCAAGUUUCCAACAUGAUAAGCUUUAUCCAAUUUGCAAAGUUGUAUGAGGUAGAAGCCAAUUUGGUUGAAGAAUAUUUUGGGUGAAUUAUCUAUUAUACAAGAAGGUCCAAUUACAAUUUAUGUUGACAACAAGUCCACAAUAUCUCUUGCAAAGAAUCCAGUGUCUCAUAGUCGAAGCAAACAUAUCAAUACAAAGUAUCAUUUUAUUCGAGAGCAAGUGAAAAAUAAAAAUGUGGAGUUAGUUUACUGCAGAACAGAAGAUCAACUGGCGGGCAUUUUUACGAAGCCAUUGAAAGCGGACAUAUUCCAUAAACUCAAAGAAAAGCUUGGAAUGAAAAAUUCGGUUUGAGGGGGAGUGUUAGAAAUCAAACCAACUUUUCAAAAUCAAAAAUUACAACUAAAGAGUUUGUACCCAAAUUGGCUUCUACCUCAUCCAACUUGGUUUUCAAAUUGAAUACAACUUUGCAAAUUGUAUAAAGCUUAUCAUGUUGGAAACUUCAUGAAAAAUCAAGAUGGUAGCAACAUUGAAAAGUCCUACAAGGCAAGGCAUGUACAAUGGAUAAGCAUUAUCAUUUAUGAUAUACUUAAGGGAUAAGUAAUCAUUAAGGUAGCUAGACUAUGUCUAUAUAUAUAUAUGUAUAGUUCAUGUGUGUGUGCUGAGAAAAAAAUUAGCUAGAGUUUGAGAGAAAAAAAAAAGUGUUGUGAGUAUAGAAAGAAAAACUAGCAGCAGCUAGUAUAGUGAGAAAAAAAAUAAAGAGUGUCGAAGCCAUUUUUUUGAAAAACGGGGUCGACUUUGGUUUUGAAAAUGAUAAACGAAAAUUGGGAGUCGCCACCAAUCUUUUUUGUUUAGGUGUGAUCGGAUCACCUAAAUAUUUGGUCAUUUUAAUAAAACAUUUUGGUUUACUAAAACAACGAUUUUGGUCUACGAAAUUUGAGAAAACGGGUUUGGGAGUCGGUUACGUACGAGGAAGGAUUAACACCCUCGUAACGCCCAAAAUUGGUACUUAAUUGAUUAAUUAGUGUCUUAAUGUCAAAAUUAAAAACUCGAAAAGAAUUUAGAAUACGAUCUUUUUUUUUAUGUUGAUCUAUACGAAGAAUUUGCUUGAGUAAAUCGAAAUGGAUUCUAAUGACUUUCUUGUCCCGAAGUAAUAAAAUGUCACAUCCAGUACGUUAGGACACAACAUUUCAGACCCUCGAGAAUAAGUUGGUCUUUUGAUUUUCAAAACUCACGUGUUUAAAUUUUAAAAGGUUAUUCAGUCAUUUGGGUCAAACGAAGAAAUCGAAACCCAGCACGUAGGGCACAAUCUCUAGAAUCUCCAAACACGGAAUAUUGUCUUGUUUUUUAAAUUUUUGAGUAAUAGCGAUUGUAAAAUCGAAACGAUGUGCAUUUAUUUAUUUGGAGUAAAAUAAAGCGAUCUAUAUUGGAUAAAAA